rnacentral:rRNA from 1 species
GGAUAACCUACCCUUAGGACUGGGAUAACCCUGGGAAACUGGGGCUAAUACCGGAUAGGCAAUUUUUCCUGGAAUGGUUUUUUGUUUAAAUGUUUUUUCGCCUAAGGAUGGGUCUGCGGCCGAUUAGGUAGUUGGUUAGGUAAUGGCUUACCAAGCCGUUGAUCGGUACGGGUUGUGAGAGCAAGAGCCCGGAGAUGGAACCUGAGACAAGGUUCCAGGCCCUACGGGGUGCAGCAGGCGCGAAACCUCUGCAAUGUGAGAAAUCGCGACGGGGGGAUCCCAAGUGCCAUUCUUAACGGGAUGGCUUUUCAUUAGUGUAAAGAGCUUUUGGAAUAAGAGCUGGGCAAGACCGGUGCCAGCCGCCGCGGUAACACCGGCAGCUCUAGUGGUAACAACUUUUAUUGGGCCUAAAGCGUCCGUAGCCGGUUUAAUAAGUCUCUGGUGAAAUCCUGUAGCUUAACUGUGGGAAUUGCUGGAGAUACUAUUAGACUUGAGACCGGGAGAGGUUAGAGGUACUCCCAGGGUAGAGGUGAAAUUCUGUAAUCCUGGGAGGACCGCCUGUUGCGAAGGCGUCUAACUGGAACGGUUCUGACGGUGAGGGACGAAAGUUAGGGGCGCGAACCGGAUUAGAUACCCGGGUAGUCCUAACUGUAAACGAUGCGGACUUGGUGUUGGGGUGGCUUUGAGCUGCUCCAGUGCCGAAGGGAAGCUGUUAAGUCCGCCGCCUGGGAAGUACGGUCGCAAGACUGAAACUUA